GCAGUUUCCUCUCCUUCUCUCUCUCCUCCUCACGCCACACUUUCUCAUUCUCUCUCUCUCGUUCGUUGUUCUGCAACUGUAACAAUGGCGUCAGCUUCGAAGCAGAACCCUUCUUCUUCAAAACCCCCAAGGCAUACAUCUCCCAUCACUACCUCAAUUCCCUCUAAAUCCGGUGUACCGGAAGAUUCCCAAUCUCGAAACCCUAAUAAUAACCCGUCGAUUUCGAUGGCGGUGGAGGAUCAGAUCCUGGGACGUUCCACUCACCUCACUCGCCCGGAGCUUCUCCGACGCAGAUCGCACUAUUUGAAGCAGCUCGCUAGAUGCUAUAGAGACCAUUACUGGGCUCUAAUGGAGGAUCUCAAGGCGCAACACAGAUAUUACAGCUGGAACUAUGGUGUUAGUCCUUUCAAAGAUGAGAAUCAUCAGCAAAACAAGAGACGUAAGGUAGAAGGAGGAAACACUGGGGGGGAUGAAAUUGAAGGUAGCGGAGACAAUGAUAAUAAUAACAACAGCAACGAUGGCGUUAAAAGUGGUAACUGUGUGGCUUGUGGUAGUGGAUGCAAAUCCAAGGCUAUGGCACUCACCAAUUACUGUCAGCUUCAUAUUCUCAUGGAUAAAAAACAGAAGCUUUACACGUCUUGUACUUACGUCAAUAAAAGAGCUCAGUCAAAAGCAAUAACUUGUCCAAAACCAACACUUGCAUCGACUGUUCCUGCCCUGUGUAACGUGCACUUCCAGAAAGCACAAAAGGAUGUUGCUCGUGCUUUGAAGGAUGCUGGUCAUAAUGUUUCUUCAGCAAGCAGGCCUCCCCCGAAACUCCAUGACAUAGUAGCCGCGUUUGUGCAUCAUAUUCAAACAAAAAGAAAAGAUCCACGAAAAGAGGCCAAAUUGAAAAGCUUAGUGAAAGAAGAAAUUACAAGCUAAAAUCAAACAGACAGGAAGCUGUUUGUUUCCACGAUUGUGCAAAAAGUAAGAUUAACCUUUACAAGGUUACAAUUUACAAGGAGCUUCAGUCAAGCGGGUAGCAACAUUGACUCAGUGGUUUAGUUAAGCCAUCUAGAUAGAGGAUAUCUUUGGAUAUCAUCAGGUGCCAGUAUCUAGGUCUAAAGUAGAAUUCACAAGUCCCAACAGUGUGUUCCUGUGACAAAAUUGUUUCAGACAUAGAUAUAGCAGUUGACACUCGAUGUUUUUGAGCUACUGGUAGCCUUCAUGGCUAUGUGAAAAAACGAUGUCCUUUGUGUGAUUUCUGCUGCGACCUUUCGCUACAACUCAAUCUAAAUCGAUUUGUCUU